GAAGCUUGCUUCUAUGACGUUAGCGGCGGACGGGUGAGUAACACGUGGGCAACCUGCCUGUAAGACUGGGAUAACUUCGGGAAACCGAAGCUAAUACCGGAUAGGAUCUUCUCCUUCAUGGGAGAUGAUUGAAAGAUGGUUUCGGCUAUCACUUACAGAUGGGCCCGCGGUGCAUUAGCUAGUUGGUGAGGUAACGGCUCACCAAGGCAACGAUGCAUAGCCGACCUGAGAGGGUGAUCGGCCACACUGGGACUGAGACACGGCCCAGACUCCUACGGGAGGCAGCAGUAGGGAAUCUUCCGCAAUGGACGAAAGUCUGACGGAGCAACGCCGCGUGAGUGAUGAAGGCUUUCGGGUCGUAAAACUCUGUUGUUAGGGAAGAACAAGUACAAGAGUAACUGCUUGUACCUUGACGGUACCUAACCAGAAAGCCACGGCUAACUACGUGCCAGCAGCCGCGGUAAUACGUAGGUGGCAAGCGUUAUCCGGAAUUAUUGGGCGUAAAGCGCGCGCAGGCGGUUUCUUAAGUCUGAUGUGAAAGCCCACGGCUCAACCGUGGAGGGUCAUUGGAAACUGGGGAACUUGAGUGCAGAAAAG
rnacentral:rRNA from 2 species